GACGAACCGUACGAACGUUUAUUCGGAAUUACUGGGCUUAAAAGGGUGCGUAGGCGGCGCGGAAAGUAGGGUGUGAAAUCCCUCGGCUCAACCGAGGAACUGCGCUCUAAACUACCGUGCUCGAGGGAGAUAGAGGUGAGCGGAACUGAGGGUGGAGCGGUGAAAUGCGUUGAUAUCCUCAGGAACACCGGUGGCGAAAGCGGCUCACUGGAUCUCUCUGACGCUGAGGCACGAAAGCUAGGGUAGCGAACGGG
rnacentral:rRNA from 1 species